rnacentral:rRNA from 1 species
UACGUAGGUGGCGAGCGUUGUCCGGAUUUACUGGGCGUAAAGGGAGCGUAGGCGGAUUUUUAAGUGAGAUGUGAAAUACUCGGGCUCAACUUGAGUGCUGCAUUUCAAACUGGAAGUCUAGAGUGCAGGAGAGGAGAAUGGAAUUCCUAGUGUAGCGGUGAAAUGCGUAGAGAUUAGGAAGAACACCAGUGGCGAAGGCGAUUCUCUGGACUGUAACUGACGCUGAGGCUCGAAAGCGUGGGAAGCAAACAGG